GGGGGUGCGGCUCUUCCCCCCAGAGCCGUACCGGGCAGUGGCCCCCGCUACCCCCCCGGCGGGGGCCACUCCUU
rnacentral:ncRNA from 1 species